GACGAACGCUGGCGGCGUGCCUAAUACAUGCAAGUCGAACGCAGUGGGGACGAGUGAUUAACACGUGGGUCACCUCCCCAUCAAACUGGAUAACACUUGGAAACAGGUGCUAAACCGAUACUGAUGUAUGGACCCGCGGUGCAUUAGCUAGUUGGUGGGGUAACGGCUCACCAAGGCCACGAUGCAUAGCCGAUCUGAGAGGGUGAUCAGCCACACUGGGACUGAGACACGGCCCAGACUCCUACGGGAGGCAGCAGUGGGGAAUCUUGGGCAAUGGACGAAAGCCUGAUCGAGCAAUGCCGCGUGAGUGAAGAAGGCUUUCGGAUCGUAAAGCUCUUUUGGUAGAGAAGCGGUAUCUAACGAGAAAGCACCGGCUAACUACGUGCCAGCAGCCGCGGUAAUUC
rnacentral:rRNA from 1 species